rnacentral:rRNA from 1 species
GAUCAUGGCUCAGGAUGAACGCUAGCUACAGGCUUAACACAUGCAAGUCGAGGGGCAGCAUAGUCAAAGCUUGCUUGAUUGAUGGCGACCGGCGCACGGGUGAGUAACGCGUAUCCAACCUUCCCCUUAGUAGGGCAUAGCCCGGCGAAAGUCGGAUUAAUACCCUAUGUUGUGUCAUGAGGACGUCUGAAUAACACUAAAGAUUUAUCGCUAAGGGAUGGGGAUGCGUCCGAUUAGCUUGCCGGCGGGGUAACGGCCCACCGGGGCGACGAUCGGUAGGGGUUCUGAGAGGAAGGUCCCCCACACUGGUACUGAGACACGGACCAGACUCCUACGGGAGGCAGCAGUGAGGAAUAUUGGUCAAUGGGCGAGAGCCUGAACCAGCCAAGUAGCGUGCAGGAUGACGGCCCUAUGGGUUGUAAACUGUCUUUUAUGGCGGGGAUAAAGUGACGUACGUGUACGUUUUUGUAGGUACCGCAUGAAUAAGGACCGGCUAAUUCCGUGCCAGCAGCUGC